UACGGAGGGGGCAAGCGUUAUUCGGAAUUAUUGGGCGUAAAGGGCGCGUAGGCGGCCUGGCAAGUGGAAGGUGAAAUCCCUCGGCUUAACCGAGGAACUGCCUUCCAAACUGCUUGGCUUGAGUCCGGGAGAGGUGAGUGGAAUUCCCAGUGUAGCGGUGAAAUGCGUAGAUAUUGGGAGGAACACCAGUGGCGAAGGCGGCUCACUGGACCGGAACUGACGCUGAUGCGCGAAAGCGUGGGGAGCAAACGGG
rnacentral:rRNA from 1 species